rnacentral:rRNA from 1 species
AUGACGACCGACGGCGACAUCGACAUGGCCGACCUCGCCUCCCUCGACGCCCCGGCCUCUCCCGCCGCCGCCGCCGCCCCCUCCGUCCGCUUCCAACCCAACGUCAAGGGCAAGCCCAAGCCCAAACCCAAGCCGAAGCCGAAGGCCAAGCCGGCGCCCAAGCCCAAGCACAAACCAGAGCCGGAGCCGGAGCCAACACCGGAGGAGGGUGACCCCCACGCCGCGGCGGCGGCGGCGGCGGCCACGCUGCCGGAGGGCGGCGUGGACGCGAUGGAGACCGACGCGGACAGGGUGGGCCCCGGCGAGGGCGCGGAUGACAUGGAUGUCGAGGACGAGGACUUCGUGGUGCGGGAGAUCGACGUCUACUUCACGCCCAAGCCCUUCGACAAGGACAGCAAGCUGUACAUCAUGCAGUACCCGCUGAGGCCAUGCUGGCGUCCGUACGAGCUCGGUGAGGUGUGCAAGGAGGUGCGCGUGAAGCCAGGGAGCUCAAAGGUUGAGGUGGACUUGGAGGUCGACACGCAGAGCGACAACUACGACCCGGAGGUUUCUGGGUCUUUGAGGGUGACGACCCAGACGUUGUCAUCAUCGGAGGCGGCUGAUGUGUCUGACUAUGCCGUCGGGGUUCUCCGAGGCAACAUGGUUCAUCUGAAUCAUCUUGAUGCGGUGAUGCAGCUGCGGCCGUCAAUGCCGCAUCUGAUUUCUGGUGCUUCGCGUACUAGGCAGCCUUUGCAACAGGUGGAAACAAAUGGUGGUGGUGCUGGUAGCAAGGCUGUUCCAUCCGCUAAGGGAAAUCAGCACCCAGAUGGUUCCAAGGACUCCCCUAAAGAACCUGAGCCAUGGAUUUCUCUCACUUACGAACCAGCUGGGAGUGAUGUUGCAAGCAAGUACUAUGCUGAGAUGGUAGCAAGCGAGGGCAGGCCUAUAGAUUUCACAAUGAGCACACAUGAUUAUGCAUUGUCAUUGUGUCCCGGAGGGCCGACAGGCAGCAAGAAUAUUAACAGAAGCCAGGCGAUCCGGGAGAUGCUUUCACUGCCACUGGAAGAGCGCCUGAAGAAAUGGUUUACUGAGGUGUCACAAGUGACUCGAUUUGUUGCUCUAAUGCAUCUUGCUCCAGACUGUUCGGAGGAAGACCUUCUGGAAACUCUUCCAGUGUAUGCUGAUUUGGUGCGUGGUUUAUGGGUCUGCCGAAGUUCUUUGUUGUAUGAUGAUGGACUCGCUUCCAAAAGGGAUCAAAUUAUGCUCGAGUUUACAAAAAUGGAAUCCAUACCUGUGAAGUAUGUGGAGAGACUGAUCAGAGAUGAGCGAACAAGGAACAUGAUAUUGAAUCCGCUGGGUAAGAGAAGGGAUAAGCUUCAAGACUACAAGUUUAUAGUAGCAGCAGAUUCAUCCUUCAUAAAACGUUAUUCCCAUAUAGUCAAGGAGCAAGAAAAUGCUUGGUCGGUCCGUGCUGCAACCAUGCCUGACCCCCUAGAGAAAUGCAGCGCUACUGAACAAAGGAAAACCAAGAACUCAACCAAAUCUAACAUUCCUGUGAAAGGGCCUGAUCCAGUAAUGGGUAAGACCAAGGACGGCCUCGUUCAAGGAAGUGAAAACCAUGUGCGCUCUGUCUUGGAUAGUGUCUUCACUGCCAAUAAAGUUCGCAGCUUUCCGGCCGUUGUUAGAGACUUGAGGCACUUGGCAGUAAAAUAUGCCUCUGACAGGAAAGAUGGAGGAAGAUUCCAAGCUCUGUCAAAUGCUGCACAAACUUGUGUUUCUCUUUCUCGUAAAGAGCUUGAUGCUUCAAUACGUCUUGUUGCUGUUCCUGUCCAUGAUUUAUAUGUUCAAAAGUCCGAGGAGAAGGCUAGUGUGCGAAAUUGUCUCAUUAAGCUCUUCCGUGAUAGAGUUCCCAAUGGAACAUUAAAGAAGCAGGAAAUCCUUGAUUGUGCUCUGAGUAUCUUAAAGAGAAAAAUUAGUGAGAAAGAGUACCAUCAGGCUGUGUCUGAGAUCUGCAUCUCAAAUGAAGAUGGACACUUGGUAUUGAAGAAUGGUGAAAUGCCCUGA